GACGAACGCUGGCGGCGUGCCUAAUACAUGCAAGUAGGACGCAGUUGCGAACGGGUGAGUAACGCGUAGGUAACUGCCUCUUCGAGGGGGAUAACUAUUGGAAACGAUAGCUAAUACCGCAUACUAGUAGAUGGACCUGCGUUGUAUUAGCUAGUAGGUAGGGUAAUAGCCUACCUAGGCGACGAUACAUAGCCGACUUGGAGGGGGGAUCGGCCAAACUGGGAAGUAGACACGGCCCAGACCCCGACGGGAGGCAGCAGUAGGGAAUCUGCGGCAAUGGGGGGAACCCUGACCGAGCAACGCCGCGGUAGUGAAGAAGGUGUUCGGAUCGUAAAGCUCUGUUGUUAAGGAAGCGGUACUUAACCAGAAAGGGACGGCUAACUACGUGCCAGCCGCCGCGGUAAUAC
rnacentral:rRNA from 1 species